GACCAUAAGUGAUCUAGUUGAAAGUGGUUACUGGCCAGCAACUGUCAAUUUUGAGACCUUGUACUUGGUGGACUUGUUCACCACGUAUGAGGAUCUAAAAAUCACUGCCCCAGGGAUGUCGAGACAAGCUUUUGUCAGCAUGCUCGAGUGUCGUACCAAACUCUUCGGGCGAAGUGGUAAGAUUUGUGGGGACACAAUGCAGAGGGCCUUCCUCGAAUGGGCCUAUGCCAAAUUUGAGGUUGACGAGCUGUCUCAGGUCCAGCAUUUUCAGUGCCCUGCAUGCACACCCUCCAUAUUGGCAGUUGCAGUGGAUGGGAACCGCAAAUUAUAUCGUUUAAAAGCCAACCAGGGUACCUGAUGGGUUUUUUGAUGGAGUCUUUUUGGCCAAUGAUGCUGAGGUGUCCUCCUUUGUUGAUUACAUCCAUGGAACAACUGGACAUAAUCCAGGGAAAGGGAGAUGUGGUGCUGGUCAGUGGACCGCAGCACGAGAGUCUGCCAACAAGUCUGGAAGCAAACUAGACGAGGAAGGUGUUGAAGUUGCUGUCUGCCGUCAUGGGGUUUUGCUGAAGGGACUGAAUAUGUUCCGUGGAGAAAUAUUUGCAUACCCAUUAUAUCUCCAGAAACAGCUAGCUUCACAGACCGUCCAGUUUUUUUGCUCUGAUGUGGUCUGCAAAUAUUGGCCAUAUCUGCAGAAAGUUGUGGACCACUGUCCAGAGUUGGAGGACUUGCUGAACAUGCGCCCAUUUCUCUCCAUCAUGCAUGCAAAAGCGCAUUCAUGGAUGUGUGAAUUAAAAUGGGGGGGACGCAAUCAAGAAGGAGCUGGAACAACAAUCGGGGAGGAGGUUGAACAGGUUAACAGCUUCCUCUCUCGAGCAGCCAUAUGUUCCAAGUACAUGUCAAAAGCCGUUCGCACAGACAUGCUAACAAUCCAGGCAAGUGGCUGGAACAAGCGAAAGGCAGAAAACCUUGACCGGACACUGGCCAAAAGAUACAUCAAGACUGUACAAAGGAUUGCAGAGGCAACAAAGGACCUGGAGAAACUCACAGCUGAGUUAUCUCUAUAGCAAGACACAGUCCAGCAGUGGGUGUCUGAUGUUCAGCAGUGGACCUCAGGAGCAACAAUCCAAAAUGACCUGCAGAGGACCAUCGAGGAGCUAUAUCUGGGCAUCAAACAGCGAAAAGUUCAGCUGUAUCGUCAGUCUGGUGGGAACAAGCGAAGGCAUCAACUGAGAAGAAAGAUUGCUGUUGAGAAGAAAGCCUUGGAAGUUGCCAUCAAUGACCACAAUGCUACUGUGGGGGAAGUUGAAAAACUGCCUCCUCCCAAUGAACUCCUGGCUGUGGAUAACUACUCCUGGCCAUGGGAAUGUCAUGGUGAUAUGGAGCGGAAAAAAAAUGUUUUUGACAAGGUAAUGCUGCUGGCUAGACUGAAAGAAGAAGAAUUUAUUGUGGUUCGCGAAGUCAAGCAGCUCAUGGAGUACAUGAGGAGUGUUGCUGGACUGAUUGAAGAGUUUACCU